GCCAGUGUGGUAUAGUGGUUUAAGUGGACUUGGGCUCCAGGAGAUCAGGGUUCAAAUCACUACUCAGCCA